rnacentral:piRNA from 1 species
UGGCAACAUUAUUUUUCAACUUCUUAGUA